CAAAUUAUCUUUAUUUAUAAAUUGAUAUCAAUGAACUAGAAUAUAUACAACUGCUCUUUGCGGCUUCUAAUAAACUACCUAUAAAUUAUUCUACUUUAAAUAUAUAAAAUUGGUAAAAAUUUGUACUAUUACAAAUUCGUGCUGGGUCAGGAACAAACUUGUCCUCCGGGUACAAUGAUGUACCCUAUAAGUUGGUAACACGGACUCACACUUGUCUUUGUUCUCUUGGUACACUUAUGUACUUUACAAGUUGGUCACAUAGACUCACACUUGUCCUAUACGGUAUAAAGCAGUUCAGCUUGUAGAGGUACAAUUCCGUAUUUCUAACAGCCAAAAACUGUUCUUUAUUUUACCUAGUAAUAUUAUCUGUUCUAUUUAAUAUAUACGAGACAGCGAUCUCGAAUAUUCACGUACCGUACCUUUGUCAAAUGUCUCCGGUAGACUUAUGACAAUCGACCCUGAGCAAGAAUUUUCUCCUGCUUAUAUACCCGAUAGAAGCUGUACCAUUCUUGAGGGAGGGGUGUUUUACCAAAGUGUCUCGUUACCAGUAUCAAAGUUUCCUUUGAAACACCCCUUCACAUUUGACCUAACCUAAAGUUUACCCGCGAAACAUCUGAUUCUUUUCUAUGUUUAUUAAAGUAUUAUAAAAAUGUAUAAAAUAAGGCUUCUGCCAAACUGUAACUAAUGUAAACAAUCUAACCUUAGAUAAAAAAAUCCUCACAAUACUUCAAUAAAAUACAAAAAUAAGUAAGCAAAGAACGUGGUCGUUAAAUUUGAUAUAUGCUUUUUGUGCUUCUUUGUUUAAUAUUUGUUUGAUUUUGUUCUGAUUGAGACUGUGACACGAUGAUGACUGCGUACCCCUAUCUUGAAAAUUUAACCCAGUAUGUCUGCUUUGUUCACGCACCGUUGUCAAUAAAAUGGAAAUGAUGAGACUGUCAUUAGGUGAUAGAUUUAACGCUAUAAAACCAGGUUCAAUCCACCAUUUUCUACAUAAGAAAAUGCCUGUACCAAGCCAGGAAUACAACAGUUGUUGUCCAUUCGUUUGGUGUGUUUUAUCUUUUGAUUUUGUCAUUGGAUUAGGAACUUUCCAUUUUGAAUUUUCUUCGGAGCUCAGUAUUUUUGUGAUUUGACUUUUUUCGACACAUUAUACCGUGUGCUUACUUGAUGAUUUAUUUUAAAAACAACACAUUUGACAAAGAAAUAUUGUAUUCUGUACAAUUUCAUUAAAAUAUUUCUCCAAUUUGUCAUUGAAGAAUGAUAUUGGUAGUUUCUUCAGUUAACGCUUUAUGACUGAGGUGUGUAUAUCAAACAUUUUACGUAAAUACGAAUCCACUUUCUUUACCAAUUUUCUGUCUAGUGACAAUACAGAAAAUGUCAGAAUAUUCAAACAGUCUUUUUUGCGUCACCUCAUUCUUCUACUUUUGAUCUCGAUCAACGAAACAACGAAAUAUAUACAUAAUACAGUAUUUUUUUGUCACAAGAGUACGUAUGCACUUUAUAUACAGUUUACCGUUUACAUUAAAAUAAUUUUAUUACAGUUUGGAUAAUGCACUAUACAAAUCCUU
rnacentral:lncRNA from 1 species